rnacentral:lncRNA from 1 species
AACCUGAAUGCUACUACUAUAACUAUCUUCUCUCAUAAGCUAAGAAAAAAAAGGUGGUUACAUUUCCUUUUUCUUAUGCAACGUCCAGGUCAGGAUAUAUCAUCUUGGAGUCAUGAUAUGUGCGGUUGUUUUUCAGGCUCAUUGUAGGAUGACCACAGGAAAUUGGCUUCACAAGUGUAGAGGUUAAAAUUAGAAGUUUCAAUUGCUAAAAAA